rnacentral:rRNA from 1 species
AACGCUAGCUACAGGCUUAACACAUGCAAGUCGCGGGGCAGCAUGAAGUCAGCUUGCUGACUUUGAUGGCGACCGGCGCACGGGUGAGUAACGCGUAUCCAACCUGCCUGUUACCACGGCACAGCCCGUCGAAAGGCGGAUUAAUGCCGUAUGUGGUCCUUUGCGGGCAUCUAAUUAGGACUAAAGGUUCAGCGGUAACGGAUGGGGAUGCGUCCGAUUAGCUAGACGGCGGGGUAACGGCCCACCGUGGCUACGAUCGGUAGGGGUUCUGAGAGGAAGGUCCCCCACACUGGAACUGAGACACGGUCCAGACUCCUACGGGAGGCAGCAGUGAGGAAUAUUGGUCAAUGGGCGUAAGCCUGAACCAGCCAAGUAGCGUGAGGGAAGACUGCCCUAUGGGUUGUAAACCUCUUUUGUGCGGGGAUAAAGUGUGGGACGUGUCCCAUAUUGCAGGUACCGCACGAAUAAGGACCGGCUAAUUCCGUGCCAGCAGCCGCGGUAAUACGGAAGGUCCGGGCGUUAUCCGGAUUUAUUGGGUUUAAAGGGAGCGCAGGCCGUCCUUUAAGCGUGCUGUGAAAUGCCGCGGCUCAACCGUGGCACUGCAGCGCGAACUGGAGGACUUGAGUACGCACGAGGUAGGCGGAAUUCGUGGUGUAGCGGUGAAAUGCUUAGAUAUCACGAAGAACUCCGAUUG